GACGAACGCUGGCGGCGUGCUUAACACAUGCAAGUCGAGCGGAAAGGCCACUUCGGUGGUACUCGAGCGGCGAACGGGUGAGUAACACGUGAGUAAUCUGCCCUUGGCUUUGGGAUAGCCACCGGAAACGGUGAUUAAUACCGGAUACGACCACUUCUCGCAUGGGAUGGUGGUGGAAAGUUUUUCGGCCAGGGAUGUGCUCGCGGCCUAUCAGCUUGAUGGUGAGGUAAUGGCUCACCAUGGCUUCGACGGGUAGCCGGCCUGAGAGGGUGACCGGUCACACUGGGACUGAGACACGGCCCAGACUCCUACGGGAGGCAGCAGUGGGGAAUAUUGGGCAAUGGGCGAAAGCCUGAUCCAGCAACGCCGCGUGAGGGAUGACGGCCUUCGGGUUGUAAACCUCUUUCAGCAGGGACGAAGCGCAAGUGACGGUACCUGCAGAAGAAGCACCGGCCAACUACGUGCCAGCCGCCGCCGUAA
rnacentral:rRNA from 1 species